rnacentral:rRNA from 1 species
GCUCAGUAAGUCGUAACAAGGUAACCAGUAGAGUUUGAUCCUGAGUCCUGGGAUAACCACGAGAAAUCCAAUCUAAUACCGGAUGUGUCAUCGGACCGCAUGGUCCGCUGAUGAAAGGCGCUCCGGCGUCGCCCAUGGAUGGCUUUGCGGUGCAUUAGCUAGUUGGUGGGGUAACGGCCCACCAAGGCGACGAUGCAUAGCCGACCUGAGAGGGUGAUCGGCCACACUGGGACUGAGACACGGCCCAGACUCCUACGGGAGGCAGCAGUAGGGAAUCUUCCACAAUGGACGAAAGUCUGAUGGAGCAACGCCGCGUGAACGAUGAAGGCUUUCGGGUCGUAAAGUUCUGUUGUAAGGGAAGAACAAGUGCCGCAGGCAAUGGCCGGCCCCUGGACGGUACCUUGCGAGAAAGCCACGGCUAAACUACGUGCCAGCAGCCGCGGUAAUACGUAGGUGGCAAGCGUUGUCCGGAAUUAUUGGGGCGUAAAAGCGCGGCGCAGGGCGGCCCUCUUAAAGUCUGAAGGGGAAAAGCCCCCGGCCUCACCGGGGGGGAGGGCCAUUUGGAAAACUGGGGAGGUCUUGGGUUAUAGAAAGAAAAAGAGGGGAAAUUCCCACGGUUUGGCGGGUGAAAAUGGCGU